UACAGAGGGUGCGAGCGUUGUCCGGAAUUACUGGGCGUAAAGGGCGCGUAGGCGGCUUGGUAAGUCGGGGGUGAAAGUCAGCGGCUCAACCGCUGGACUGCCUUCGAGACUGCCUGGCUUGAGCAUGGUAGAGGCUGGCGGAAUUCCCGGUGUAGCGGUGGAAUGCGUAGAGAGUCGGGAAGAACAUCGGUGGCGAAGGCGGCCAGCUGGGCCAUUGCUGACGCUGAUGCGCGACAGCGUGGGGAGCAAACAGG
rnacentral:rRNA from 1 species